UGCCAGCCGCCGCGGUAAUACGGAGGGGGUUAGCGUUGUUCGGAAUUACUGGGCGUAAAGCGCACGUAGGCGGAUUAGAAAGUAUGGGGUGAAAUCCCGGGGCUCAACCCCGGAACUGCCUCAUAAACUCCUAGUCUAGAGAUCGAGAGAGGUGAGUGGAAUUCCAAGUGUAGAGGUGAAAUUCGUAGAUAUUUGGAGGAACACCAGUGGCGAAGGCGGCUCACUGGCUCGAUACUGACGCUGAGGUGCGAAAGUGUGGGGAGCAAACAGGAUUAGAUA
rnacentral:rRNA from 1 species